rnacentral:misc_RNA from 1 species
GUUGGUGAACCAGCGGAGGGAUCAUUACAGAGUUGAAAAACUCCCAACCAUUGUGAACCUACCUCACCGUUGCUUCGGCGGGUGGCCCCCUGAACCAGGGGCCGCGCCGGCCUCCUCCCCCGGAGCCGGCAACCCGUCAGAGGCCCGUAACUCUUCGUCAUCAGUGGCCUCUCUGAGUAACUUAUACAAUAAGUCAAAACUUUCAACAACGGAUCUCUUGGUUCUGGCAUCGAUGAAGAACGCAGCAUCU